CUCUGAAAAUGUAACAGCCAAUCCAAAGGGCUGGGGGCGGGACUAAGAGCAAGAGUUUGACAGAGAGGAGCGGGAAGGAGAUAGACGCCAUCGCCGGGAGAGUGCACAGUAAGACAUCAUUAAGUAGUAACACAGAAGUGUAUCACCGAAGGUCGACUAUUCGUGGUCCUGAUAUUGACUUCUUGUGAAUUUCAAAAGGAGAUGAUGUUUUCCCGAUGGAUGGGUCCUGUUGUGUCCUGCUGCCCGGCCGCCCGGCCGUGUUGCAGUUGUGUUCCGGCCGACGACCCUGCUGAGUGACGCCACCAUGCCAUGUUAUUGGAUGAUAAUUGUGCUGACAUCAAGAGAUUAUCUGGAAACUGCAUAUCCACAGGCUGCCACCCCGAGGAGAGGACCUCCUUGCUUUGAGGGUUCUGCCGGGCCACCACCACCCAGAGCGGAAUCAGAGCCAGGAAAACCACACACACCAGGGGAGAUAGGACGUACCCCGCACCUCACCCAAAGUCAACUGGGGUAGUUUACAGAAUAAUACCAGUUAAAAGGUACUGCUGACUCCAGCCAGCAGUGACAGCGUGAUCAAAUCACCCAAACUGGCAGCUAUAGGGGUGGCCACAUUGUCUGGGUUGAUUCCUACCUUCCUGGAGCCGAUGAUCACGCCAACCAUCAACAAGCCUGGAAGGGAGAGCAUAUCAACAGGAAAUGAAAGCGACAAUGCAACUGGUUGUCCGCUCUUAAACUUAUACAAUGAUCAAGUCCAGGGGUCACUCACCUAAAGAGAGAGCAGCCACAAAGGCCGUGACUAUGCUACUGGCACACAGAACAGCCGCCUGAUCCAGUUCAAUUCCCCCUCUGGAAAUUGAUCCUAAAGAAACAGCUGCGACAGCAGCAAGGAAGCCUACGACAGUCGCUUGUACCUACAGAAAGUGUUUCAUCAGUAAAAAUAGAUACAUUUUAUCUGUAAACUGAUAACAUUACUUGUGGACCAAGUAUUGCUUGGUCAAGUGGGGCAAAAAAGUAUUGUCAGUCAGCAAUUGUGCAUGUCUUCACAAGGUCUUCACACACUGUUGAUGGUAUUUUGACCCAUUCCUCCAUGCAGAUAUAUUUUGGGGCUGUCACUGGGCAACACAGAUUUUCAACUCCCUUGAAAGAUUUUCUACGGGGUUGAGAUCUGGCCUCUUGUUCUGGUCACGCCUCCUUUGCCCAGGCGGUGUGUUUGGGAUCAUGCUGAAAGACCCAGCGACGUUUCAUCUUCAAUGGUGUAUACUGAUAAUGAGUUCACACAGAUACCAUUAAUACAGGUAAGACAGAGUUGACUCUUAAAGAAGAAGUUACAGAUGAGGUAUGCUGUGGCGACCCCUGAAAGGAAAAGCCGAAAGAGAAAAAGUUGAGGUAUACCCGUGAUGAAAAUGGGAGGUUGGUGACUGCCUAAUACUUUUUUUUGCCCCACUGUAAUCACACAAGUUUCAGUAUGUACAGUACAGUACCUGUAUCAGUGCUAGAUUGCUGCACACCAUGGUCCAUUGUUUGUGUGGGUCAUCCAUUUGUCCCGUGUUGGCCUAAAAAAAAAAAUGAAUUCACUUCAGACCUAACAAGAUAACCAAGACGUACAAAUGGACAAUAUAUAGUGUUAUGUGUACAUAUGUUGUAUGGCAUGCAUGUACUUGUCAUGUUCAGUUGAGUUAAAAUGAACUCUGGUGUGUUAGCUCUGUUCAUACGGUGUGAACGCUCAAAUCUAAACAGACCAAAGCCUCGGGCUAGUAAUGCAGACCUAUUAUGCUUUUUCCACUUUUCUGACCUGUAAAUGUAGUUAGAAUGUUGUAUUCUCGUGUUAAUCGAUGCCAAAGUUCCAGAUAAUGAGGUUUGUGCAUUUGGGAGUGAGUUUUUCCUAUAUGGGCUUCCGGCGUCAACAUCAGGUGUCAAUCUUACAGCAGUGGAGAGGCGGGCAGCUAGGGUCAUCUCUAGGUUUCCUUUGAGUCCAACCAGCGCAGGUACCAGAAUAAAGACCUCAGUGAUCACCUUGAACACAUCCCAGUGCUGAAAGACACAUAAAAUUUAUUUAUUUUUUAUUUUUAGAAACAAUUAUAAUUACUCCUAAGAAAUAUUUAAAAUCAAUUCCAAAUCCUGUGACACUAAUUAGGAUAAGUGGUAUAGAAAAUGGAUGGAUUCAAAAUAAACCCCAUGAACCUCCCGGUCUUGCAGACAUCAUUUUUAAAUAAGCACAUCACAUAUUCAAAAGUAACCACUAGCCUACUUUUUCCUCAUUCCACCUCUCUGGUCACCAUGUGACAGCAGAAGGUUCACCGGGUACACGGGAGGUACGGCUUGGCUACAAGUCUACUUGGCAGGUCCAUGGAGUUUCGAGCUUUAAAUAGAUGCACAUAGAACAGAGGACGUCAGCUGGUAAGAGACAAGUGAUGUGGAGGAGAGGUGGAGAGAGGGUGGGCAGGAGGCAAAGGAGGAUGCAGUGAAAGAGUAAUCUAUCUGAUGCAAUAGUAGACAAAAAGAAUUAAAGGUUUCUGUAUAUUUUGAACUAAGGUGAAUUAAUUUAAUUGGCGGUAUUGUAAUUUUGUGAAACUAAGUAUCAGAGAAAUGAGAUGUGAAUUAUACACAUCGCACAAGGAAUGGUGACGAGUAGGCGACUGCAAGGUUAUGUUGGGUCAUGGCCCACUUCUGCAGCAACAUUGCUCCUGAUGAUGCUGGUGUAUUCAUUCAUUCAUUUUCUACCGCUUUUUCCUCACGAGGGUCGCGGGGGUGCUGGAGCCUAUCCCAACUGUCUUUGGGCGAGAGGCGGGGUACACCCUGGACUGGUCGCCAGCCAAUCACAGGAUGCUGGUGUAAUGGUUUCAACGUCAUCAAUACAACAUAGAAUUCAUGACAUACUUGUAUGAUGUCCAUGAUGACACCAGCGAAAACCAGUCCAAGACCUGACACCAGAAAGGGUACCAAGACCUGCAGAGCGAUGAGCCAUGAGCUCUCUGACACAACAUGCAUUCAGCCAAAGUGACUACACAUUGUCCUCUGUCAGUCACAGCCGGCAGACUGAUGAGCGACUGAUGAAAAGUGUUAAACAGAAGUGGAAAGAGGACGGUAACUCAGAUCAGCAAUCAGUUCAUUGCAAAAGGAGACAGCAAGAUUUUUCAGUCCAGUGGAACGGCAAAUUUAGAUCACGUCAAUUUUAUGGGAUUUCCCAGCAUCCUUAAAUGCAGCUAAUUGUACUUCCAUGAGUUACAAAAUGAGUGAAUAUACACGCAUAAUGAGGAUGUUAUGAUGUUCGGAAUGCCUGUGAAUGCAUCUCGCCAUAUGUCUUGCAAGGAAGCGCUGUUGCAAUGACGAAUGGACUAGAGACGUGUUUCUUGGAGCAUAGUACAUGGUGUUUAAAUCACACUCGUUGAAUAAAGUUAUUAGAGCAAGGCUUAAAUACACAAAAAAUUACAUAAUUAAUUAGAUAAAUUAGGUUCGGCCAAUGACAUGCAAUUUUUGACAGACCUCGUGAAAAAAUGUCCCCCAAAACCUCAGUUGACAUUGGCAUUUGUAGGUUCCACUAUAUCACUCACUACUCAACUCACCUGUACACUAUCCAGCACCAUCCCAGCCAUCACCAUUCCCAUUCCAGCCAGUAGAUAAGGGAAAAGAACCUGCAGACAUAUUGCUUGGGAUGAUUCCUCUGCCAAUUUAGCAACAGAUGAUUUCGGCCUCGCCUCUGAUGGCUUUUUAGAAAGUGGCUGAAGGGUGGGCGGUAAUGUGAGCUCAUCAUGUCCAUUGAGGCUAUCUGCCCGACCAGCACUGGGACUAGCACCGGGGCUUUUCCCUUUGGUCCGCGACUUUUUGGUCUUUUUCCUCUGGCGGGUUAGUGGUGGUGGUUUGUCAUCGCCUGGCAUGACGGCUGUGUGCAAAGAGUCUGGCACAGGAUUAAUCUAGACAAGGACAAAUUGUAUGAUUAGGAAUCAUAGAAUACAAUGGCGCAGUGCGUUUUCUACAAGAAUACGUCUCAAUGUUACCAUACUAGCAAGCAGGAUUGUGCAAAACUAUUGAAGCAAUCACCAUCAACUGUAGAUGAUAAGGAAUGUACCAAAGAAGAACCAAUUGCAUUUAGCAAAAUAAUAAAAUUCUGGAAUAUGCAAUCAAAAUCCCACGCAUACUUAAUGAAUUGCAGAUGAAUAAAGCCUA